AACGAACGCUGGCGGCAGGCUUAACACAUGCAAGUCGAGCGCCCCGCAAGGGGAGCGGCAGACGGGUGAGUAACGCGUGGGAAUCUACCCAUCUCUACGGAAUAACGCAUGGAAACGUGUGCUAAUACCGUAUACGUCCUUCGGGAGAAAGAUUUAUCGGAGAUGGAUGAGCCCGCGUUGGAUUAGCUAGUUGGUGGGGUAAAGGCCUACCAAGGCGACGAUCCAUAGCUGGUCUGAGAGGAUGAUCAGCCACACUGGGACUGAGACACGGCCCAGACUCCUACGGGAGGCAGCAGUGGGGAAUAUUGGACAAUGGGCGCAAGCUUGAUCCAGCCAUGCCGCGUGAGUGAUGAAGGCCCUAGGGUUGUAAAGCUCUUUCACCGGUGAAGAUAAUGACGGUAACCGGAGAAGAAGCCCCGGCUAACUUCGUGCCAGCCGCCGCAGUAAAAC
rnacentral:rRNA from 1 species